rnacentral:tRNA from 1 species
GGACUCGUAGCCUAGCCUGGAUAGGGCGACAGGACAAUUGUCCCGCUAGAGCCUUCUAAGCUGUAGACCGGGGGUUCGAAUCCCCCCGAGUCCA